rnacentral:rRNA from 1 species
GUAGGGAAUAUUGGGCAAUGGAAGCAAUUCUGACCCAGCCAUGCCGCGUGAAGGAAUACAGCCCUAUGGGUUUUAAACUUCUUUUAUUAUAGAGUAAACGGAGGUACGUGUACCUCCCUGCAAGUAUAUGAUGAAUAAGGAUCGGCUAACUCCGUGCCAGCAGCCGCGGUAAUACGGAGGAUCCAAGCGUUAUCCGGAUUUAUUGGGUUUAAAGGGUGCGCAGGCGGAUCAAUAAGUCAGGGGGGAAAAAUUUCAGCUUAACUGGAAUCGUGCCUUUGAUACUGUUGGACUAGAGUAUAAUUGACGUGACUGGAAUGUGAUGUGUAGCGGUGAAAUGCUUAGAUAUGUCACAGAACGCCAAUCGUGAAGACAGGUCACGAAAUUAUUACUGACGCUCAUGCACGAAAGCGUGGGGAUCAAACAGGAUUAGAAACCCUGGUAGUCC